CCCUUAGAUGUUCUGGGCUGCACGCGCGCUACACUGAUGCACUCAACGAGUUUACGACCUUGCCCGAUAGGGUUGGGUAAUCUUUUUAAAAUGCAUCGUGAUGGGGAUAGAUUAUUGCAAUUAUUAAUCUUCAACGAGGAAUUCCUAGUAAGCGCGAGUCAUCAGCUCGUGCUGAUUACGUCCCUGCCCUUUGUACACACCGCCCGUCGCUCCUACCGAUUGAGUGCUCAGGUGAAUAAUUCGGACUGCAACAAUGUUUGGAUCCCGAACGUUGCAGCGGAAAGUUUAGUGAACCUUAUCACUUAGAGGAAGGAGAAGUCGUAACA
rnacentral:rRNA from 1 species